rnacentral:misc_RNA from 1 species
GUGAGUCAUCGAAUCUUUGAACGCACAUUGCGCCCGCCAGUAUUCUGGCGGGCAUGCCUGUUCGAGCGUCAUUUCAACCCUCAAGCCCCCGGGCUUGGUGUUGGGGAUCGGCACAAGGCGCUGGCACCUCCGGGAGCCGCGCGCGCCCGCCGUCCCCCAAAUCCAGUGGCGGUUCGCGCCGUGUGUACCUCAGCGUAGUAGCAACGACUCGCUCCGGGACCCUCCUGCGAACCACGCCGUAAAACCCCCGACUUUUUUUCUGGUUGACCUCGAAUCAGGUAGGACUACCCGCUGAACUUAAGCAUAUCAAUAAGCGGAGGA